UUUUUUGAGACCGGCGCACGGGUGAGUAACGCGUAUGCAACCUACCUUAUACAGGGGAAUAGCCCGAAGAAAUUCGGAUUAAUGCUCCAUGGUUUAUCGAUAUGGCAUCGUAUUGAUAAUAAAGAUUUAUCGGUAUAAGAUGGGCAUGCGUAUCAUUAGCUAGUUGGUGUGGUAACGGCAUACCAAGGCAACGAUGAUUAGGGGUCCUGAGAGGGAGAUCCCCCACACUGGUACUGAGACACGGACCAGACUCCUACGGGAGGCAGCAGUGAGGAAUAUUGGUCAAUGGAGGCAACUCUGAACCAGCCAUGCCGCGUGCAGGAUGACGGUCCUAUGGAUUGUAAACUGCUUUUGUACAGGAAGAAACCUCCCUACGAGUAGGGACUUGACGGUACUGUAAGAAUAAGGAUCGGCUAACUCCGUGCCAGCAGCCGCGGUAAUACGGAGGAUCCGAGCGUUAUCCGGAAUUAUUGGGUUUAAAGGGUUCGUAGGCGGCUUUGUAAGUCAGUGGUGAAAUUUCCUAGCUUAACUAGGACACUGCCAUUGAUACUGCAGAGCUUGAAUAAUAUGGAAGUAACUAGAAUAUGUAGUGUAGCGGUGAAAUGCUUAGAUAUUACAUG
rnacentral:rRNA from 2 species